CCGUAUCUCGAUACCCGCGGUAUAUUAACCCCUGUGAACCCACGGCGUAAGCCGCUACAUUGCCUCGGUCAGCGGCCCCAGGGCGGGGCCCCCGGCCUGGGUGGACCAGGCGCUGGCCGGCGGCGCGAACUUCUGGAUCGUGAUCGCGAGUGAGCUCUGAGUUGAUAUCUAAAUUUGACAAUAUAUAAUA
rnacentral:misc_RNA from 1 species